CAAACCGUUGGCGGCAGGCUUAACACAUGCAAGUCGAGCGCCCCGCAGGGGAGCGGCAGACGGGUGAGUAACGCGUGGGAAUCUACCCUUUUCUACGGAAUAACGCAGGGAAACUUGUGCUAAUACCGUAUGAGCCCUUCGGGGGAAAGAUUUAUCGGGAAAGGAUGAGCCCGCGUUGGAUUAGCUAGUUGGUUGGGUAAAGGCCUACCAAGGCGACGAUCCAUAGCUGGUCUGAGAGGAUGAUCAGCCACAUUGGGACUGAGACACGGCCCAAACUCCUACGGGAGGCAGCAGUGGGGAAUAUUGGACAAUGGGCGCAAGCCUGAUCCAGCCAUGCCGCGUGAGUGAUGAAGGCCCUAGGGUUGUAAAGCUCUUUCACCGGUGAAGAUAAUGACGGUAACCGGAGAAGAAGCCCCGGCUAACUUCGUGCCAGCAGCCGCGGUAAUACGAAGGGGGCUAGCGUUGUUCGGAAUUACUGGGCGUAAAGCGCACGUAGGCGGAUUGUUAAGUGAGGGGUGAAAUCCCAGGGCUCAACCCUGGAACUGCCUUUCAUACUGGCAAUCUAGAGUCCAGAAGAGGUGAGUGGAAUUCCGAGUGUAGAGGUGAAAUUCGUAGAUAUUCGGAGGAACACCAGUGGCGAAGGCGGCUCACUGGUCUGGAACUGACGCUGAGGUGCGAAAGCGUGGGGAGCAAACAGGAUUAGAUACCCUGUAGUCCACGCCGUACACGAUGAAUGUUAGCCGUCGGGCAGUUUACUGUUCGGUGGCGCAGCUAACGCAUUAAACAU
rnacentral:rRNA from 1 species